GAUGAACGCUAGCGGCAGGCCUAAUACAUGCAAGUCGAACGGGAUCAGGGAGCUUGCUCCCUGUGAGAGUGGCGCGCGGGUGCGUAACACGUAUGCAACCUACCUUCAACUGGGGGAUAGCCUUCCGAAAGGAAGAUUAAUACCGCAUAACAUAAUUGAAUGGCAUCAUUUGAUUAUCAAACGUCAGGGUUGAAGAUGGGCAUGCGUCCGAUUAGCUAGUUGGUGUGGUAACGGCACACCAAGGCGACGAUCGGUAGGGGAUCUGAGAGGAUGACCCCCCACACUGGUACUGAGACACGGACCAGACUCAUACGGGAGGCAGCAGUAAGGAAUAUUGGUCAAUGGACGCAAGUCUGAACCAGCCAUGCCGCGUGCAGGAAGACGGUCCUCUGGAUUGUAAACUGCUUUUGUUAGGGAAGAAACCCUCGGAUGCGUCCGGGGCUGACGGUACCUAAAGAAUAAGGAUCGGCUAACUCCGUGCCAGCCGCCGCCGUAACAC
rnacentral:rRNA from 1 species